rnacentral:misc_RNA from 1 species
AGACUUUGGUACCAACAUCGCUAUAUCAUGCUCACGAUAUUGUUCACUUGGUGAUUCCAACUAGAGAUUAUCUGUUUGCUCCCUCAUUUGCAGAUAUAUGCCGAGCAGUAAAUUUCAUUCAUGAAAAUGCCUCCCAUGGAAAGACAACAUAUGUUCACUGUAAGGCCGGCAGGGGGCGCAGUACAACAAUUGUGCUCUGUUACCUUGUACAACACAGGCACAUGACUCCCGACACUGCAUAUGAAUACGUAAGGUCUAUUCGGUCGAGAGUUCUUUUGGCUUCUUCCCAGUGGCAGGCUGUUCAAGAUUACUAUCUUCUCAAGGUGAAGGAAACUGGCAGCAUCAUAGCAAGGAAAAGUAUAGAUUUUCUAACUCGGGAGGAGGCCAAACAGGGCACAGAAGCCUCUGAUGAUAGCACAUUUGUGGUGGUAACAGAUUCAGAUCUUGAUGGAUAUGAUGUUGGUUGUGAAACAGUUGUAGUGAAUGACAAGAUGUUGGGAGAACUUAGCCUGGCCUGCAGGGUUCAAUUUGCCAGUCAGGCAGCUAUUUCCAGAAUUUCAUGCCUGUGGCUUGGGUGCAUUGCAAACCAUAAACCCUCUAAUAAAAAACAUGGAAGUUCUCUCAGCAAUGAUCAAUUGAGAAGCCUAACUGUUGACAUCCGAGUUUAUUGAGACAUCAAAAUCUACUGGGUGUUACUUCUAGGAUUGGGUUUUGUUUUGUUAUGUUUUGUUUUUGCUUCCCCUUUUUCUGGUAAACACUAGGAAAAGUGAAUAUUUUAAGAGACUAAUUUCUUUCUUUUUUUCCUCUUUAUUGUGAUUUUGCUGGUUUGGAUAAGUGUAACUGGGGCUAUGAAGGAGAUUGUAGCAUCCCUUUGUUGUUGUGAAGAUGCUUGUAAUGAAGCAGCAAAGAUUU